rnacentral:lncRNA from 1 species
CUUGCUUUUUUGUUUAUGAAAACUCUGGGAAGACUAUGAAGAUCGUGAGGAAAGAAUAUCUCCGCAUAGAAAUCCAAAAAGCCCCAUAAGCGAAGCAUUUCCAAAUUUCUGAGUAUACGAGCACAAGCAUUGCAGGUGAUCCUGAACCAUGUGGCAAAACCUGUUUGCGAUGUCUACAUUAAACUCCUCAAAACAACGCCCGUAUUGUAGGAUUCUCACAGAACAACUUGAAAUAACCAAGAAGUAUGGCAGACUUCCAUAACGAGUGGAGAUAUAGAGCUCAUGGUUCAGAUUGAUGCCUUGCAUUGGUCCUUCGGAAACCCUGAAAUAAAAUUAGAAAAGGAAUCUUGUGACUUAUUGCUCUUUUCUUAAUUUAUUCAUAUUUGUCCAGCCAAUCAAAGUGGUAACAAGUUAGAAACCUUGAUUCUAAGUUCCAAAUGUAGAAUAUCAAAGUACCUUGAUUCUAAGCGAAGCAUUUUCAAAAUUUCAGACUAUAUGAGCACAAGCAUUGCAGGUAAUCCGGAACGAUGUGUCAAAACCUGUUAGCGACGUCUACAUUAAACUCCUGAAAACAAUGGUCGUAUUGUAGGGUCCUCACAGAACAACCUUGAUAUAACAAACAAGUAAGACAGAUUGUGCUGCCCUUCAAUAGAAUACCAAGUAUCCUUACAUAUAUGCACAUAUCUUAGAUUAGUUAAUGUAUAAAGUAUAUUCCUUUCGGACAAAGUACCUGUCGAUUGAUCUAUUAAUAAAGUUAGCAGCAUGUGCUGCCCUUCAAGAACAAAUUCCCUGGUUGAUCCUGCUGAAAUGGCCAGAAUAAGUUACUUUCAAAAUACGAGGACCUGUAAAUAAUCUUGAAUGUAACAUAGAUCUAUCAAUUAAAAGGCAAAAGAAUACCAAAGUUACAAGACUAAUCAAUUAACAAUAUACCACAGGCAAUAUGAUUCUCUUAAACGUAAAGUUGGGAUGAGAGAUUUGAAAGUGUCAAGGGCUUAAGGCUAAAUUAGUUGGAGGGAUAUGAAAUAAAAUUAGAAAAGGAAUCUUGUGACUUAUUGCUCUUUUCUUAAUUUAUUCAUAUUUGUCCAGCCAAUCAAAGUGGUAACAAGUUAGAAACCUUGAUUCUAAGUUCCAAAUGUAGAAUAUCAAAGCUCAUAAGAAUUAGAAACAAAGAGAAGAUUUCAGAGAGUUUUACCUUCACUGGUUUUCUCCAACUCCCAUUAUUUCCAUGUCAAAUGGGGAAAAAUCGUGUUUAAUCCUUUCUUCUCAUCGCUAUUGAAUGUCGAUGUCAACUCGAGCUCAACCCUUUUCCAUACCUCAUCUAGAAAAGAUGGUCCUGAUUCAAAGAUGAAGAAAUAAUGAUUUAUAAAGCGAUCUUAAUUACUUGUGCAAGUUUGACAAUCUGGACCUUUUCCUUUUGUUAUGAUUCACGCAUAUAAUCCAUCGACAAUGAUCAUGAAACAAGAAAAGAAAAGGAAACGUAAGUUACACUCCAGUAUUCAACAACUUACGAUGGAAUCUGUAAGAGUGCAGCAGCCAGCCAAAUUCACACGUUGUUUUUGUGCAGAAACAUAUCGGCACCUAUGUAAAGAUGACAGAUGCAAUGAAAGAUGAGUAAGCAUUCCACCGUAUUCAAACCACAACAGUAAGAGGAAAAAAAAAAACAUCAUCAAGGAGUUACCUCGUCCUGUGCAGGAGAAUCAUAUUGGUGUCAUAGCUAGCCAGAGCACCCAAUAACUUACUUGGAGUUACCUCGUCCUGUGCAGGAGUUACCUUGAUUGAUUCUCGUUUGAUUGCUUCAGUCCAAAUGCUAGAAAUAAAAUAAGGUGUUUAUGAGGAUUAAAGGGUGUGCAAAUAUCACUUCCCCAGAUUUAUGAUCCAACUAUUCGGAAGCUGGCCAGCUUCUCAAGAACGCUUUCUCCUCCGAAUCAGCAGUGCCAUACAGAGAGAAAUCCAAAGAAGGAAACGACUCCCAUAUAGGAGUUUUAUGCAGAAACUGGGGCAGCCUAAUACUGGCAACGUGGAUGCAAACCUACUUUCUCUUCUGAUGUCUAGAAACUUCAAUUAACCUCAGGACAUGAGCUCCAUGCUUUCUUCAAUGCUUUCACAAGGUCUAGAAGAUCUGCGUGUUUUCUUCGUUGCUUUCAGGAGUCUGGGGAACCUGCAAGUUCUCUUCAUUGUUUGCAAACCAAGUUCUGGAGGGCCUCUGGCUUCUCGCCCGUUCUUGCCUGCGAGCUAAGCAAAAAAAUUAAUGCAUCAACAACCAGUUUCCAGAAUGCAUGACCAUAAGGCUGUAUUCUAACAGCCUCACUUAUUUCCUGGCUAUAACAUAAGUCAAUAAUUUCCUUUCCGGAAUGAAAUAAACUUAAAAGUGCCACUUUUCCCAGUUUAUAUUUAAUGAACCUCCUCCUACUGUUUAGAAUUUGUACAUGAAGCGCUAUCAUGGUUCAGAGUUGUUACCAAGAAAAUUUCUAUCAUAUGACGCCUGCUCCAACCAUCCUCGACCAGAAGUGAGCUACACCGUAUCAUCAAUUUCUCCACAGCAUCUUCCUCUAGAACAGUUAAUGAAUCAAAUGGUUGCCUCCAUGAUGGACGACCCUGCAUCAUCCAGAUAAUAAUAAUACAUUAUUAUUCAACCACAAAUAAAGUAACAAUUUGUUAGUCACUCAAAAUAGAAAUAGCACGUUAGAUCUCCCCAAUUUACAGAAGGAGUGAACUUGAACUUGCCACUACAGCAUUUGAAAGUUAUAAGUAUCACAAGCAGACAAUAGCGCCUUACUAGCUCCGCUGUCGUACAUUUUGCCGGUUGACUAUUCCAACCAUCCAAUAUUCCGGCCUUCCAAUCUAUUGAUGAUCUAGUCUAUGUUGAGCAGCCUUAACAGAUGCAAGCUGAAAGCCACUGGAAAAACAGAAAGGAUCCUCACAUAUAUGCGUUUAACUUAGAUUAGUUUUAAGUAGAAACUACAUUCAUUUCGGACAAAGUACCUGUCUUCGUGCAGCCCUCGAGAACAAAUUCCCUGCUUGAUCAUGCUGAAAUGGCCAGGAACGUGUCCUUCAAACUUCUUAAAAUCUGUAGAUACAGUAAACAUGAGACCAUACAUUGCUAAGAUUAAAGGCUUGGACUGUUCGCAGACCUUAUCCAAAGUUAACUAAAUAUGUAUGUAUAUACAAUUACAUAAAUACACGCACAGACACAAAUUACACAAGGAUGCAUACAUAUAAUCGAUAAUCUAUACUUCUACUCACUCUGAAUGCAAUAUCCAUACUUACAACCUCUCAAUCGAAAUCUAACGGUUGACAUCUACAUCCUGGUAGAGAGAACGUUUCUUUUUUGGAAAAUUAUCAGUUAUUGGAUGAAGGCUGGCGAACAAAAACAUUUAUACUUCAAAAGAAUACCUAAGUUACAAGACUAAUCAAUUAACAAUAUACCACAGGCAAUAUGAUUCUCUUAAACGUAAAGUUGGGAUGAGAGAUUUGAAAGUGUCAAGGGCUUAAGGCUAAAUUAGUUGGAGGGAUAUGAAAGACUAGAUGCAAUGCAUUUAGAGGGAUUUGUAAAUGACUGCUUGAAGGGAGACAUUUAUAAAUACUUUGUUUAUGUGUGUAAUGAUCAUGUAGUGCAUUUUAAAUGUCUAUAUCCUUCAUCCAAACAUAGGGUGAGAGAACUAGGAGUUUUAGCAUACACAACUCACUGACAUAGGACAAUACAAAUUAAGGCAAAACAAACAGUGUCAAAAUCCAAAAUGCCUUACUUCUUUGAGUCAUUAUGUGUGCAUUAUGCCCUUAUCAGACUCCUUGCUUUUUUGUUUAUGAAAACUCUGGGAAGACUAUGAACAUCGUGAGGAAAGAAUAUCUCCGCAUAGAAAUCCAAAAAGCCCCAUAAGCGAAGCAUUUCCAAAUUUCUGAGUAUACGAGCACAAGCAUUGCAGGUGAUCCUGAACCAUGUGGCAAAACCUGUUUGCGACGUCUACAUUAAACUCCUAAAAACAAUGCCCGUAUUGUAGGAUUCUCACAGAACAACCUUGAAAUAACCAAGAAGUAUGGCAGACUUCCAUAACGAGCGGAGAUAUAGAGCUCAUGGUUCAGAUUGAUGCCUUGCAUUGGACCUUCGGAAACC